AAAACAGAAACCAAUGGCAGAGCAAGCACAGGAGGGGAGAGUACAGAGAGAGUAUACUCUCUUUAUAUUACUGUUUUGUUUUUCAGUGUCUUUUUUUUUUCUUUUAUUUGUCAGUGAAAUUCAAAACAUUUUAGCUCGUUUUAGACGUCUGUCUUUCUCUUUGCAUUUUUUCCAUUCCCAUUUCUAUCUGCGAAUCUUCGCAGGAACCAUCCUUCCUCUCUCUUCUCCUUUCUUCUCCCUUUACUUCUCCUUAUGAGACUCUGUUUUUAGGACCUUAAUAUCUAACCAUCUACUUUCUCUGUACACCUCCUCACAUCAACACUUCAAGUUAGAAACUGGUAUUAUCUGUUUCCUGCCAAUUUCUGUAAGCAGCUAAGUAUCAUUAUCCUUCAACACUUCUUCGUCUUUCAAUGAGUAAUCUCAAGCUAGGAGUGGAGGUUGUAAGUGCUCACGACCUUAUGCCCAAAGAUGGGCAGGGCUCAGCCAGUGCUUUUGUGGAGCUUCAUUUUGAUCAUCAGAAAUUUCGCACCACUACUAAAGAAAAAGAUCUUAAUCCUGUUUGGAAUGAGAAUUUCUACUUCAACAUCUCUGAUCCAAAUAACCUAUCCAACCUCACUCUUGAAGCCUAUGUAUACAACCAUAGUAAAGAAAACAACUCCAAGUCUUUCCUUGGAAAGGUUCGCCUUACUGGAACCUCAUUUGUUCCUUAUUCUGAUGCUGUUGUUUUGCAUUACCCUCUGGAAAAACGAGGCAUUUUUUCUCGUGUCAAAGGAGAGCUUGGUUUGAAAGUAUUUGUUACUGAUAAUCCUUCAAUAAGAUCCUCAAACCCACUUCCUGCAAUGGACUCCUCUCUGUCUGCAGAUUCACGUUCAACCCAAGCUCAAGCACCAGAACAACAGAUUCCAAAUUCAGUUCCAAAACUGUUCUCCAGUGGCAAGAAUGAGUCAAGGCAUACAUUUCAUCACCUUCCAAACACUAGCCAGCCAAUGCCACAACCACAGCAACAGCAACAUGUCCCCGCAGCAGCCCCCCAGCAAACAAUGAAUUAUGGGACUAAUGAGAUGAGAUCUGAACCUCAGGCUCCAAGAAUUGUUCGCAUGUUCUCUGAUUCAUCGUCACAGCCUGUUGACUAUGCACUCAAAGAGACUAGUCCUUUCCUUGGAGGGGGGCAAAUUGUCGGAGGGCGAGUCAUAGGUGGGGACAGGAUAGCUAGCACUUACGAUCUUGUUGAAAAGAUGAUGUACCUUUUUGUACGGGUUGUUAAAGCUCGUGAUCUUCCCACCAAGGAUGUGACAGGGAGCCUUGACCCAUAUGUUGAAAUAAGAGUUGGAAAUUACAAAGGAAUUACAAAAUACUUUGAGAAGCAGCGUAACCCUGAAUGGAAUGAAGUGUUUGCCUUUGCAAGGGACAGGAUGCAAUCAUCUGUACUGGAAGUUGUUGUUAAGGAUAAGGAUUUGGUGAAGGACGACUUUGUUGGGAUUGUCAGAUUUGAUAUGAAUGAGAUUCCAACACGGGUCCCACCUGAUAGCCCAUUGGCACCAGAAUGGUAUAGGCUUGAAGACAGGAAAGGGGUGAAAGUAAAUGGGGAGCUGAUGCUUGCUGUCUGGUAUGGUACUCAAGCUGAUGAAACAUUUCCUGAUGCUUGGCACUCUGAUGCAGUUACACCUACUGAUAGUUCGUCCACUAUCUCUACACACAUACGCUCUAAAGUUUACCAUUCUCCAAGACUAUGGUAUGUUCGUGUCAAUGUGAUUGAGGCUCAAGACCUGGUUAUUCCUGAAAAGAAUCGGUUUCCGGAUGCUUAUGUUAAGGCACAGAUAGGUAACCAGGUCUUAAAAACAAGGAUAGUCCAAAGUCGGACAAUGAACCCAGUAUGGAAUGAGGAUUUAAUGUUUGUUGCUGCUGAACCCUUUGAAGAUCAUCUGAUCCUUUCAGUUGAAGAUCGUGUUGGCCCCAACAAAGAUGAGAGCGUUGGCAAGGUUGUUAUACCAUUAAACUCUGUUGAGAAGCGUGCUGAUGAUCGAAUUAUUCAUAGCCGGUGGUUCAACAUGGAAAAGUCCGUUUCAGCUGCCAUGGAUGAGCAUCUGGCAAAGAAAGAUAAGUUCUCUAGUAGACUCCAUCUUCGUGUUGUACUCGAUGGAGGUUACCAUGUGCUUGAUGAGUCAACUCACUACAGUAGUGAUCUUCGACCAACAGCAAAGCAGCUUUGGAAGCCAUCAAUAGGUGUGUUAGAGCUUGGUGUUCUAAAUGCUGAUGGGCUUCACCCGAUGAAAACAAGGGAUGGAAAAGGUACAUCAGAUACAUAUUGCGUAGCGAAGUAUGGUCACAAAUGGGUUAGGACACGAACCAUUAUCAACAGCCUUAGCCCAAAAUACAAUGAGCAAUACACUUGGGAGGUGUACGAUCCUGCAACAGUUCUUACUGUGGGAGUUUUUGAUAACAGCCAGAUUGGUGGUUCAAAUGGUAACAGGGACAUAAAAAUUGGUAAGGUUCGGAUACGACUCUCCACUCUAGAAAGUGGCCGCGUUUAUACACACUCUUAUCCACUACUAGUGCUCCACCCUUCUGGUGUCAAGAAGAUGGGCGAAUUACAUCUGGCAAUACGAUUUUCAUACACAUCAAUGGCAAACAUAAUGUUUCUAUACGCACGGCCCCUUCUACCAAAGAUGCAUUAUGUAAGGCCAUUGACUGUGAUGCAGCAGGACAUGCUGCGGCACCAAGCUGUCAACAUUGUGGCAGCUCGGCUUAGCCGAGCAGAACCCCCUCUUAGGAAAGAAGUUGUUGAGUACAUGUCUGAUGCAGACUCUCAUCUCUGGAGCAUGAGGCGGAGCAAGGCAAACUUCUUCAGGCUGAUGUCUGUUUUCUCUGGAUUGUUUGCUGUUGGAAAAUGGUUUGGUGAAGUUUGCAUGUGGAAAAAUCCAAUCACUACAGUUCUAGUACAUCUCCUCUUUGUGAUGCUUGUGUGUUUUCCAGAACUGAUUCUGCCAACGGUGUUUCUCUAUAUGUUUCUAAUAGGACUUUGGAAUUAUCGUUUCCGAGCAAGAUACCCUCCACACAUGAAUACAAGAAUUUCUUGCGCUGAUGCAGUACACCCUGAUGAGCUUGAUGAAGAGUUUGAUACAUUUCCAACAACACGAAGCCCAGAGAUGGUCCGAAUGAGGUAUGAUAGGCUAAGGAGUGUGGCUGGGAGGAUCCAGACUGUGGUGGGUGAUUUAGCUACCCAAGGGGAGAGAAUUCAAUCACUAUUAAGUUGGCGGGAUCCUCGUGCCACAACCAUAUUUGUGACAUUCUGUCUAGUGGCUGCCAUUGUCUUGUACGCAACACCUUUUCAGGUGCUUGCUCUUGUCGCUGGGUUUUACUCUAUGAGGCAUCCCAGGUUCCGGCAUAGGACGCCAUCAGCACCGAUUAACUUCUUCCGUCGUCUGCCAGCUAGGACAGAUAGUAUGUUGUAAAUUGAUAAUCGGGGUUUUUCUGGCAAAGCCUAUCUCACUGGUGCGUCAGAUUCUGGUUUAUUUUUGUUGGUGAUGUUUGUAAAGCUUUGCUUUGUCUUCUUAUUUUCUGUUUGAUGUGUUCUUCCAUGGAAAUAUAUACACAUACUGGUACGCUAAAGUUAAUAGUAGAAAUUUCGUAUUUUGCAACCAGGUUUAUAUUAGACAACGUAGUGUCAUGUCAUUGCUAGAUGAGCUUUUUUCACGGUCUUCUGCCAGAAGCAUGGUAUAGCAGCACUGUCUGCAAUCAGAACAGAACUGUUGAUUACUAGUGCCAUGCAUAUUCAGGCAGAAUUAGUAAUUCAUUCAGUGGAGCUCUGAC
rnacentral:misc_RNA from 1 species